rnacentral:rRNA from 1 species
UUGGUGCCUUCGGGAACUCUGACACAGGUGCUGCAUGGCUGUCGUCAGCUCGUGUCGUGAGAUGGUUGGGUUAACGUCCCGUAACGAGCGCAACCCUUGUCCUUAGUUACCAGCACGUUAUGGUGGGCACUCUAAGGAGACUGCCGGUGACAAACCGGAGGAAGGUGGGGAUGACGUCAAGUCAUCAUGGCCCUUACGGCCUGGGCUACACACGUGCUACAAUGGUCGGUACAAAGGGUUGCCAAGCCGCGAGGUGGAGCUAAUCCCAUAAAACCGAUCGUAGUCCGGAUCGCAGUCUGCAACUCGACUGCGUGAAGUCGGAAUCGCUAGUAAUCGUGAAUCAGAAUGUCACGGUGAAUACGUUCCCGGGCCUU